rnacentral:rRNA from 1 species
GCUUGUCUCAAAGAUUAAGCCAUGCAUGUCUAAGUAUAAACAACUUUGUACUGUGAAACUGCGAAUGGCUCAUUAUAUCAGUUAUAGUCUACUCGAUAGUACCUUACUACUUGGAUAACCGUAGUAACCUAGAGCUAAUACAUGCACAAAAUCCCGACUUCACGGAAGGGAUGUAUUUAUUAGAUAAAAAACCAAUCCGGCAACGGUGCUUGGUGAUUCAUAAUAACUGUUCGAAGCGCACGGCCUCGCGCCGGCGCUAGUUCAUUCAAAUUUCUGCCCUAUCAGCUUUCGACGGUAGUGUAGUGGACUACCGUGGCGCUAACGGGUGACGGAGAAUUAGGGUUCGGUUCCGGAGAGGGAGCCUGAGAAACGGCUACCACAUCCAAGGAAGGCAGCAGG